rnacentral:misc_RNA from 1 species
CCAAACUUGGUCAUUUAGAGGAAGUAAAAGUCGUAACAAGGUCUCCGUUGGUGAACCAGCGGAGGGAUCAUUAUAGAGUUAUAACAACUCCCAACCCAUGUGAAUCUUACCUUCAGUUGCCUCGGCAGGCGCGUCUUACCAACUUACCCUAUAAGCACUUACCCGGUAGUAACCCUACCCUGUAGAUGCGGGAUAGUAAAUUAGCCGUGACUGCCGGUGGCCCCUAAAACUCUGUUUUAUUUUGGAACUCUGAAUACAAAACUUAAUAAGUUAAAACUUUCAACAACGGAUCUCUUGGUUCUGGCAUCGAUGAAGAACGCAGC